rnacentral:rRNA from 1 species
AACGUAGGACGCAAGCGUUAUCCGGAGUUACUGGGCGUAAAGGGCAGGCAGGCGGGUCGAUAAGUCGGAUGUGAAAUCUCCCUGGCUUAACCGGGAGAGUGCAUUUGAGACUGUCAACCUGGAGGGCAGCAGAGGAGCGUGGAAUUCCGGGUGUAGUGGUGAAAUGCGUAGAGAUCCGGAGGAACACCAGUGGCGAAGGCGACACGCUGGGCCGUACCUGACACUGAUACGCGACAGCAUGGGGAGCGAACGGG